GAUAGGAUGGCUGAAUUUUAGGUUAUAAAUUGUAAAUUUAUAUAUGGUAUUUAUACCUCUUAUCA
rnacentral:tRNA from 1 species